rnacentral:rRNA from 1 species
GAUGAACGCUAGCGGCAGGCUUAAUACAUGCAAGUCGAGGGGCAUCGCGGGUAGCAAUACCUGGCGGCGACCGGCGCACGGGUGCGUAACGCGUAUGUAAUCUACCUUUAACCGGGGAAUAGCCCAGAGAAAUCUGGAUUAAUGCCCUAUAGUAUUAUUGGAAGGCAUCUUUCGAUAAUUAAAGCUCCGGCGGUUUUAGAUGAACAUGCGUGUCAUUAGUUAGUUGGCGAGGUAACGGCUCACCAAGACUACGAUGACUAGGGGGUCUGAGAGGAUGAUCCCCUACACUGGUACUGAGACACGGACCAGACUCCUACGGGAGGCAGCAGUAAGGAAUAUUGGGCAAUGGAGGCAACUCUGACCCAGCCAUGCCGCGUGAAGGAUGACGGCCCUCGUGGUUAUAAACUUCUUUUGUACGGGAAUAACCCUCCGAACGUGUUCGGAGCUGAAGGUACCGUAAGAAUAAGGAUCGGCUAACUCCGUGCCAGCCGCCGCGGUAACAC